CUGGACCUUGUUAGGACUAACAGGAUUCCCCUAGUAACUGCGAGUGAAGCGGGAAAAGCUCAAAUUUAAAAUCUGGCGGUCUUUGGCCGUCCGAGUUGUAGUCUGGAGAAGUGCUUUCCGCGCUGGACCGUGUAUAAGUCUCUUGGAACAGAGCGUCAUAGAGGGUGAGAAUCCCGUCUUUGACACGGACUACCAGUGCUUUGUGAUGCGCUCUCAAAGAGUCGAGUUGUUUGGGAAUGCAGCUCAAAAUGGGUGGUGAAUUCCAUCUAAAGCUAAAUAUUGGCGAGAGACCGAUAGCGAACAAGUACCGUGAGGGAAAGAUGAAAAGCACUUUGGAAAGAGAGUUAAACAGUACGUGAAAUUGCUGAAAGGGAAACGCUUGAAGUCAGUCGCGUCGUCCGGAACUCAGCCUUGCUUUCGCUUGGUGCACUUUCCGGAUGACGGGUCAGCAUCGAUUUUGACCGUCGGAAAAGGGCUAGAGUAAUGUGGCAUCUCCGGGUGUGUUAUAGACUCUGGUCGCAUACGGCGGUUGGGAUCGAGGAACGCAGCGCGCCGCAAGGCAGGGGUUCGCCCACUUUCGCGCUUAGGAUGCUGGCAUAAUGGCUUUAAACGACCCGUCUUGAAACACGGACCAAGGAGUCUAACAUACCUGCGAGUGUUUGGGUGGAAAACCCGAGCGCGUAAUGAAAGUGAAAGUUGAGAUCCCUGUCGUGGGGAGCACCGACGCCCGGACCUGACGUUCUCUGACGGAUCCGCGGUAGAGCAUGUAUGUUGGGACCCGAAAGAUGGUGAACUAUGCCUGAAUAGGGUGAAGCCAGAGGAAACUCUGGUUGGAGGCUCGUAGCGAUUCUGACGUGCAAAUCGAUCGUCAAAUUGGGGUAUAGGGGGCGAGAGACUAAUCGAACCAUCUAGUAGCUGGUUCCGUGCCGAAGGUUUCCCUCAGGAUAGCAGAAACUCAUUUAUCAGAUUUAUGUGGGUAAGGCGAAAUGGAUU
rnacentral:rRNA from 1 species